UACAGGGGGUGCAAGCGUUACUCGGAAUUACUGGGCGUAAAGAGCGUGUAGGCGGCUUAGCAAGUUUGGUGUGAAAGCCCUGGGCUUAAUCCAGGAAGUGCAUUGAAUACUGCUGAGCUAGAGUAUAGGAGAGGUGGGCGGAAUUCCUGGUGUAGAGGUGAAAUUCGUAGAUAUCAGGAGGAACAACAGAGGCGAAGGCGGCCCACUGGACUAUUACUGACGCUAAGGCGCGAAAGCGUGGGGAGCAAACAGG
rnacentral:rRNA from 1 species